rnacentral:lncRNA from 15 species
GCACAAAACCAAGAUAAGGGAUUAAGCCAGGAUAUGUUGGUUAUCCUGGCUUAAUUUAGCCUCAAGUCGGUUGCAUGAAAGCAGCUCAAACUUAUCCCGGCCAAGUUACUAUGGUGAUUUAUUCUCUGCUGUUAGCCUGCUCCAGACCAGGCUAACAGCCAGGCUAAGAUUAAUCCUAGUGAUUCACCUGUAUUUCCAUCGUCAGUCCUGUGAGGAAUUAAUGUGUUUUACAGCAUGUCCAUGGUCUUUCUAAGUAUGUUGCAUCAUUUUAAUUAUCCUGCGUUAAAAUAUUACAUAUAUAUUGUCAUUUCUUAUUUCAUUUAAAUCUGUUGGCUGUUUGUAAUGCAAACAGUCUUUUUAUAUGAUUUCAAGUGGUAGUAUUAUUACUCAGGACAAGUGUUAUAUUGCUAUGCUAAUGAAGACUGCUUGUCAAAUGACAUAAAUAUUUGUUUAUUGCAGUAAUUGAGAUUACAAAACACAGCUGAUGAAGUUGCAAAGCUGUUUUCAAUGAAAUCUGUGACAAGGGCAAAAUAAUAUAUAUAUUAUGGCAUACCAUUUAAGAAAUUAAUCUUUGAAUAUAUAGAAUGAAACUUUGAAUAUAUGGAAUGAAUCUUUUAAUAUAUUUAAUGAAUCUUUGAAUAUAUAGAAUGAAACUUUGAAUAUAUUGAAUGAAACUUGACUGGUCAUCAAGGCACUGCUGCCAUCUUGUAGAAGUGAGAAUGAGUCAGUCAGGAACCUUGUGGCAGCAAUACUGAGCAAUGAGGACAUUAUUAACUCAUUGGUAAGUGCUUGUACGGGCCACAAUCCUUCCCAUAGUACCCGUGCCCAAUACCGUUCUCCUGACGAAGAAGUUCACUCCCUUUUUAAUGGUGGCAGGCCGACUACAACAGGGAGUGAACUUCUUCGUCAGGAGAACGGUAUUGGGCACGGGUACUAUGGGAAGGAUUUUGGCCCGUACAAG